rnacentral:rRNA from 1 species
GACGAACGCUGGCGGCGUGCUUAACACAUGCAAGUCGAACGGCAAGGCCCUGCUUUUGUGGGGUGCUCGAGUGGCGAACGGGUGAGUAACACGUGAGUAACCUGCCCUUGACUUUGGGAUAACUUCAGGAAACUGGGGCUAAUACCGGAUAGGAGCUCCUGCUGCAGGGUGGGGGUUGGAAAGUUUCGGCGGGUGGGGAUGGACGGGCGGCUGAUCAGCUUGUUGGUGGGGGAGUGGCUUACCAAGGCUUUGACGGGUAGCCGGCCUGGGAGGGUGACCGGCGACAUUGGUACUGCGAGACGGCGCAGUCUCCUACGGGAGGCAGCAGGGGGGAAUAUUGCACAAUGGGCGGAAGCCUGAUGCAGCAACGCCGCGUGCGGGAUGACGGCCUUCUGGUUGUAAACCGCUUUCGCCUGUGACGAAGCGUGAGUGACGGUAAUGGGUAAAGAAGCACCGGCUAACUACGUG